AAUUGAGGAAGAAGGUUUCUGGGUGAAGGUAGUGUUGACGGCAACUGACCAAAUUGAGGUGAUGGAUGUGAUUUCCGUGAUUUCCAGUUACCCAAGGCUUGAGCAACAACGGUGGAAGCUCAGAGAUUGUCUAAGUACGGAUUCCAGGAACUGAGCAGGAGCUAGCUGAGGACCAGACUUAGACACUUGGGUGUUGGCAUCGUC
rnacentral:lncRNA from 1 species